UACGAAGGGGGCUAGCGUUGCUCGGAAUUACUGGGCGUAAAGGGCUCGUAGGCGGCCAACUAAGUCAGACGUGAAAUCCCCCGGCUUAACCAGGGAACUGCGUCUGAUACUGGAUGGCUUGAGUUUGGGAGAGGGAUGCGGAAUUCCAGGUGUAGCGGUGAAAUGCGUAGAUAUCUGGAGGAAUACCGGUGGCGAAGGCGGCAUCCUGGACCGAGAUUGACGCUGAUGAGCGAAAGCUAGGGGAGCAAACGGG
rnacentral:rRNA from 1 species